UACGUAGGGUGCGAGCGUUAAUCGGAAUUACUGGGCGUAAAGCGUGCGCAGGCGGUUUUGUAAGCCAGAUGUGAAAUCCCCGGGCUUAACCUGGGAAUGGCAUUUGGGACUGCAAGGCUCGAGUGCGGCAGAGGAGACUGGAAUUCCUGGUGUAGCAGUGAAAUGCGUAGAUAUCAGGAGGAACACCGAUGGCGAAGGCAGGUCUCUGGGCCGAUACUGACGCUGAGGAGCGAAAGCGUGGGAGCGAACAGG
rnacentral:rRNA from 1 species